GGGCGGAUAGCUCAGUUGGUGAGAGCACCUGCCUUACAAGCAGGGGGUCGUAGGUUCGAGUCCUAUUCUGCCCACCA
rnacentral:tRNA from 1 species